CCGGUGUCGGCGCCAGGCUCAGGCAGCAGACUCUAUAGACACCAUUGUGAGGGGCGGGGGCUCGCAGGGUACCACAACAAAGAUGGCAGCCAACCGGAAGUGGCUUCGGCCACAACCAGGAUGGCGGCGAGGAAGGGCAGAUGUUACCUAAUGCCAUCCUCAUGAUGGUAACUCGGCCGUGUCCGCCCUCUCUGCCACACUCACGAGGCGGCCGAGGUGGGACCUCGGCAGAGAGGUGAAUCUGACGCUGCCUGUCGGCCCCUGCCGGGCUCCUGCGCGCCCGCGUUGCCUCCCAGCCCUCAGCCCGUGUCCCCGCGCCUGAAAACCACGCGGAAAUUCGCGCCGGGGGGCCAGCGUCGAAAUCGGGGUCACAGGCAGGCAGUCAGUCCGAUAGACGGAGCGGGGUCCUUCAUUUCUCGCUCUUUUUGCCGCCUUUGGGAGGUCGGUCGGAUCGUGGCCGACACACCAAGGCAAACCAGUUAGAAGGAAAUACUUGAGGAUGAGGGUGCCUGUCAGGAAAAUGAAGCCUGUGUUGAGAAGCUGAAGGGCGCAGUCCUGCCCCAGCUGGUUUUGGGCCCAUGUUUUGCUGCCUCUGGAAGAAGAGACCUGCAAGCAACAGGGAGCAGCAGAAGAGAUGACAGCCCUGCCAAAAUUCAUGCCAUAUUGGGCUGCCUGCGUUUGAGGCAAAAUGGCUUUCAGUGAAGGAUGCUGUGUCUGUCACAAGCUGGAGCCGCCCUUCAGCGUGGUGGUGCAAAGCAGGAACAGAGAAGAAUGCCUCAUGUUUGAGUCUGGAGCUGUGGCUGUCCUCUGUAAGUCGAUCUGUUUUGA